ACAUAGUGGACUAUCUCUAAAUUCCACCGAAAUUCUGCUGCUGUACAAAUUCCACGUCCGGUACAAAACUGGUUCAGAAGGCUUCAUUGCCUUUGUGUAAAUCAAACCCGGGUUGACGUUGAGUGGGAUCCAAGACAAGCCUCCCCUCCUGUGUGACAAGCUAAACUUAAAUUCUGCAAUAGUCUGGCACAGCAAACUGGCAGUUUUACUUUAACAUCAUUUAAGUUGAAAAGAUUAAAGAUUUAGAGUGGGAUUGUCCCAAAAAAAAGUGAAAAACUGGAAAAUCAGUGGAAACUGAGGUCCAGAUCCUCUGAAAGUACUUAACUUCCUUUG